rnacentral:piRNA from 1 species
UCUGUCCUACUCUUGCCCUACACAGG